rnacentral:rRNA from 1 species
GGGAGGACAGGUGGUGCAUGGUUGUCGUCAGCUCGUGUCGUGAGAUGUUGGGUUAAGUCCCGCAACGAGCGCAACCCCUACGUUUAGUUGCUAACGCGUGAAGGCGAGCACUCUAGACGAACUGCCGUUGACAAAACGGAGGAAGGUGGGGGAUGACGUCAAAUCAUCAUGCCCCUUAUGUUCUGGGCUACACACGUGCUACAAUGGCCGGUACAGACGGACGCAAAGCCGCGAGGUGGAGCAAAUCCUAAAAAGCCGGUCUCAGUUCGGAUUGCAGGCUGCAAUUCGCCUGCAUGAAGUCGGAAUCGCUAGUAAUCGCAGGUCAGCAUACUGCGGUGAAUACGUUCCCGGGCCUU